UUUGAAUGAUUUAUGCUAGUUGAGGUCCUAUAAUUAUUUUGAAAAUCCGAUAAUUAAUUAAUGUAAUUAAUUAUGAAAUUAGGUCGUAUGUUCCUCUUAGGACAAUAUGCGUUUUCCAUAUACCUUUAGAGAACAUAGAUGUAGGAAUCACAUAGACCAAUCCAAAACCUUCUGAUGAGAUAAAACACUUAAUUAAAACCCCUCAUUCUUUUAAUUAAGAAUCAUU
rnacentral:lncRNA from 1 species